rnacentral:rRNA from 1 species
GAUGAACGCUGGCGGCGUGCCUAAUACAUGCCAGUCGAGCGAACAGACGAGGAGCUUGCUCCUCUGACGUUAGCGGCGGACGGGUGAGUAACACGUGGAUAACCUACCUAUAAGACUGGGAUAACUUCGGGAAACCGGAGCUAAUACCGGAUAAUAUAUUGAACCGCAUGGUUCAAUAGUGAAAGACGGUUUUGCUGUCACUUAUAGAUGGAUCCGCGCCGCAUUAGCUAGUUGGUAAGGUAACGGCUUACCAAGGCAACGAUGCGUAGCCGACCUGAGAGGGUGAUCGGCCACACUGGAACUGAGACACGGUCCAGACUCCUACGGGAGGCAGCAGUAGGGAAUCUUCGGCAAUGGGCGAAAGCCUGACGGAGCAACGCCGCGUGAGGGAGGAAGGUCUUCGGAUCGUAAAACUCUGUUAUUAGGGAAGAACAAAUGUGUAAGUAACUAUGCACGUCUUGACGGUACCUAAUCAGAAAGCCACGGCUAACUACGUG